rnacentral:snoRNA from 14 species
NAGGAUCUAUCGAAGCUGGUACAAUGAUUUUAUCAUUGUAGAAGUCAAAACAAUCCAAAAGAAACCGUCAAAUAGUGAUUCGGGUGGCACUUUUAUUUUCCAUAAAUAAUCGUGUCUAUCGAAUUUCUAACACUU